AAUAGAUACCCAGGUAGUCCACGCCGUAAACGAUGAGUGCUAAGUGUUAGGGGGUUUCCGCCCCUUAGUGCUGCAGCUAACGCAUUAAGCACUCCGCCUGGGGAGUACGGCCGCAAGGCUGAAACUCAAAGGAAUUGACGGGGGCCCGCACAAGCGGUGGAGCAUGUGGUUUAAUUCGAAGCAACGCGAAGAACCUUACCAGGUCUUGACAUCCUCUGACAACCCUAGAGAUAGGACGUUCCCCUUCGGGGGACAGAGUGACAGGUGGUGCAUGGUUGUCGUCAGCUCGUGUCGUGAGAUGUUGGGUUAAGUCCCGCAACGAGCGCAACCCUUGAUCUUAGUUGCCAGCAUUUAGUUGGGCACUCUAAGGUGACUGCCGGUGACAAACCGGAGGAAGGUGGGGAUGACGUCAAAUCAUCAUGCCCCUUAUGACCUGGGCUACACACGUGCUACAAUGGAUGGUACAAAGGGCCGCCAAACCGCGAGGUUGAGCGAAUCCCAUAAAACCAUUCUCAGUUCGGAUUGCAGGCUGCAACUCG
rnacentral:rRNA from 1 species